GACGUAGGGGGCCAGCGUUGCUCGGAAUUACUGGGCGUAAAGGGUUCGUAGGCGGUGCGGUAAGUCGGAAGUGAAAUCUCUGGGCUUAACUCAGAGGCUGCUUUCGAAACUGCCGUGCUGGAGUGCGGGAGAGGCGAGUGGAAUUGCAGGUGUAGCGGUGAAAUGCGUAGAUAUCUGCAGGAACACCCGUGGCGAAGGCGGCUCGCUGGACCGCAACUGACGCUGAGGAACGAAAGCUAGGGGAGCAAACAGG
rnacentral:rRNA from 2 species